rnacentral:rRNA from 1 species
CGGACGGGUGAGUAAUGUCUGGGAAACUGCCUGAUGGAGGGGGGUAACUACUGGAAACGGUAGCUAAUACCGCAUAACGUCGCAAGACCAAAGAGGGGACCUUCGGGCCUCUUGCCAUCGGAUGUGCCCAGAUGGGAUUAGCUAGUAGGUGGGGUAACGGCUCACCUAGGCGACGAUCCCUAGCUGGUCUGAGAGGAUGGCCAGCCACACUGGAACUGAGACACGGUCCAG